AAAUUUGCUGCAGUUCCCAACAGCCCCCUACACCCAAACACCUAACGUUCAACUACUAGGGGUAGAUUCGUCAUUUUUGUUUGAUGCGGAUCCAAAAGAGCAUAUUCUCUUUUCAAAAUCUGAUACCCCUUUUUCUCUUUCUUUAGUCAAAACCCUACUGCCAUUAAUCAAGACCAUAUAUAAUCUUUCUUUUCUUUUUCCUUAGAAAAACCUAGCAUUAAAAAUCAUCUCUUCAAAGCACACACAACCAGCCGGCCCUAUUCUUCUCCUCUCCUUCUUCUAUUUUCUUUGAACAGCAAGAACACAACCUAGCCAAGCCUCUUCUUCUUCCUUCUUCUCUCUUGCUGAAAAACGCAGCAAGCUUCUCCCUUGCUGAAAAACGCAGCAAGCUUCUCCCUUGCUGAAAAACGCAGCAAGCUUUCGUUCUCCUUCCUUCCUUCUUCAAGCUACAGCAGUAGCUUCAAUGGCCGAAUCCUUGUACCCCCUUCAAAACCUGCAACACAAAGAGAAACCCGAAACACUAGUAACAACAAAGAUCUAAAAUGAUCUUUGUUGGUUAUAGAAAAGAAAACCCGAAAAACACUACAGAAAAAUAAAGGAGAACACAACAAAGUUUGAUCUCGGAGUUCCCCUUGAAAUCAAGAGUACAUCUCCGUCAAGCUUCCCUCAAAGACGCUUGAUUCUUCACUAUGAUGUCAAAACCGGUUACAAGUUCAUGGAGAUUCCAUGCUACAAAACACAGCAGGUGGGUUACACAAAGAAACCAAAGGUUGCUGCCUUUUUUUUUCUGCUUGGCCGAAAUGGUGUGUUGCUCAAAGUGGAAGGUUGAACCACUUAUUUAUAAUGUUUUUGUUGUUGCUGGCUGUGUUGUUUGAGCUGAGAAAUAACUAUAUUCUGUUGUGAUAUUUUCCUUGUAAAGCUGAAAGUUUGUUAGAGUCUUGAGAUAUUUUGUUUGCUUCUUUAUAUUGUAAAGAGAAAUAAAGAUCUAGGCCUAUGACAACAGAACCGACAACUCUAUGAGUUAUAAUGGUCUGUUGAGGCUUUGUAAAUAGAUCUAAUUUAUUUUCCUUGUAACUUUAUUUAUGGGACAAUAGUAUGGGAAUUUAUCCAACAC